AGAGCGAACGCUGGCGGCAGGCCUAACACAUGCAAGUCGAGCGCCCGUAGCAAUACGGGAGCGGCAGACGGGAUAGUAACACGUGGGAACGCGCCCUUCGGUUCGGAAUAACUCAGGGAAACUUGAGCUAAUACCGGAUAAGCCCUUACGGGGAAAGAUUUAUCGCCAAAGGAACGGCCCGCGUCCGAUUAGCUAGUUGGUGAGGUAAUGGCUCACCAAGGCGACGAUCGGUAGCUGGUCUGAGAGGAUGACCAGCAUCACUGGGACUGAGACACGGCCCAGACUCCUACGGGAGGCAGCAGUGGGGAAUAUUGGACAAUGGGCGCAAGCCUGAUCCAGCCAUGCCGCGUGGAUGAUGAAGGCCCUAGGGUUGUAAAGUCCUUUUAACGGGAAGAUAAUGACGGUACCCGUAGAAUAAGCCCGGCUAACUUCGCGCCAGCAGCCGC
rnacentral:rRNA from 1 species